GCCUACGGGAGGCAGCAGUGAGGAAUAUUGGUCAAUGGUCGGGAGACUGAACCAGCCAAGCCGCGUGAGGGAUGAAGGUACAGAGUAUCGUAAACCUCUUUUGUCAGGGAACAAAGGCGGGGACGUGUCCCCGGAUGAGUGUACCUGAAGAAAAAGCAUCGGCUAACUCCGUGCCAGCAGCCGCGGUAAUACGGAGGAUGCGAGCGUUAUCCGGAUUUAUUGGGUUUAAAGGGUGCGCAGGCGGUCUGUUAAGUCAGCGGUCAAAGCCCGGGGCUCAACCCCGGCCCGCCGGUGAAACUUGCAGU
rnacentral:rRNA from 1 species